AUUAGUUGUUCGAUCCCUAACCCUAGCCACACCCACAUCCUCCUCCAUCCCGGCGCCGCUUUCUUCCUUUCUCUCCUACAUCCCGCCGCCGCCCCUACCACUCUUCCAUCGCCCCAAUCAACGGAUCAUUCAUCCCCUUCCCUAUCCCUACCCGCUGCAGGAGCGAGCAACAAGCUUGUUGCCCCGUCAUCCUCUCUGGUUCUCCCAAUGGGUGCAGCAGGAGUUGCCUAUGUGUUUCAUGGUUACGAUGGUUGCGAACGCUGACCGGUAAUCUUCGAGGCAUGCGCCUGCAUCAGUGUCAAAGAUCUGAUCCAUUACGUCGAGGACGUGCACGUUGACCAUCGCCACCAUCGACCGCGCCCCAAGUGGCCUUUCCAGGCGUUCACGGGGCAGCCAUGUCGUCCCGCGGCAGAGCCUUUGCCCUCCACAAGCUUUUCCCUGCAGGUCGACGACAGGGCGUUUUGGGUAAUUCACAGCGCAGGAUGUUAUCAUGGUGAGGUUCCAGUGGAGAGCGGCGGUACAAGGCUUCCGACUGUCGUCUCCUUCCCGAACACGAGCUCGGCCAGAUCCAGUCCCUAAUGGCCAAGGAUUUACCCCUCUCUCUUAAUCCAGUGUAAUAUCCAUUAAUAUGAUUUACCAAUCUGAUUCUUCAUGUUCUCAUGUAUGCAUGCAUGGAAGUUUGGCCCCGAACUAGAUGCGAUGUUGGGAGAACUAGUCUGAUGCACGGAAACCAUUGAUGUUGCACCGCUGCUAACGAAGCCACCACACCGACUUGCCAAGACUACGAGGUCUCCACCACCCGGUCCAAAUUCUGUUGAUCCUACGUUCUCGGUUGAAUUGGUCAUGUUAGACUUGAUGGAUUGACUCACUUCAGCUAUCUUUUGAGAAUCCACAGGCGACAAUGGAAAGAGUAUAUUGUGCAGAGGAAGAUGAUGAGAA